rnacentral:rRNA from 1 species
CCUACGGGGGGCUGCAGUGGGGAAUAUUGGGCAAUGGGCGAAACCCUGAUCCAGCGACGCCGCGUGAAGGAAGAAGGCUUUCGGGUUGUAAAGCUCUAUCGACAGGGAAGAGCAGAAGACGGUACCUGUCGAAUAAGCCACGGCUAACUACGUGCCAGCAGCCGCGGUAAUACGUAGGGGGCAAGCGUUGUCCGGAUUUACUGGGUGUAAAGGGCGUGUAGCCGGGCUGGCAAGUCAGAUGUGAAAGCCGGGGGCUCAACCCCCGAACUGCUUUUGAAACUGUUGGUCUUGAGUGUCGGAGAGGCAAGCGGAAUUCCUAGUGUAGCGGUGAAAUGCGUAGAUAUUAGGAGGAACACCAGUGGCGAAGGCGGCCUACUGGACGGCAACUGACGGUGAGGCGCGAAAGCGUGGGGAGCAAACAGGAUUAGAUACCCUUGUAGUC